UACGUAGGGGGCAAGCGUUGUCCGGAUUUAUUGGGCGUAAAGAGCGUGUAGGCGGCCGCACAGGUCCGUUGUGAAAACUGGAGGCUUAACCUUCAGACGUCGAUGGAAACCGUGCGGCUAGAGUCCGGAAGAGGAGAAUGGAAUUCCUGGUGUAGCGGUGAAAUGCGCAGAUAUCAGGAAGAACACCCGUGGCUAAGGCGGUUCUCUAGUACGGUACUGACGCUGAGACGCGAAAGCGUGGGAGCGAACAGG
rnacentral:rRNA from 1 species